CCUACGGGAGGCAGCAGUGAGGAAUAUUGGUCAAUGGACGAGAGUCUGAACCAGCCAAGUAGCGUGAAGGAUGACUGCCCUAUGGGUUGUAAACUUCUUUUAUAAGGGAAUAAAACGAGGCACGUGUGCCUUUUUGCAUGUACUUUAUGAAUAAGGAUCGGCUAACUCCGUGCCAGCAGCCGCGGUAAUACGGAGGAUCCGAGCGUUAUCCGGAUUUUUUGGGUUUAAAGGGAGCGUAGAUGGGUUGUUAAGUCAGUUGUGAAAGUUUGCGGCUCAACCGUAAAAUUGCAAUUGAUACUGGCAGUCUUGAGUACAGUUGAGGUAGGCGGAAUGCGUGGUGUAGCGGUGAAAUGCUUAGAUAUCACGAAGAACCCCGAUUGCGAAGGCAGCUUACUAACCUGUGACUGACAUUGAUGCUCGAAAGUGUGGGUAUCAAACAGGAUUAGAUACCCGUGUAGUC
rnacentral:rRNA from 1 species